UGACUUCAUGUUUGUCAGUUCUUGGAUCUC
rnacentral:piRNA from 1 species